rnacentral:rRNA from 1 species
GAGCGGGCGUAGCAAUACGUCAGCGGCAGACGGGUGAGUAACGCGUGGGAACGUACCUUUUGGUUCGGAACAACCCAGGGAAACUUGGGCUAAUACCGGAUAAGCCCUUACGGGGAAAGAUUUAUCGCCGAAAGAUCGGCCCGCGUCUGAUUAGCUAGUUGGUGAGGUAAUGGCUCACCAAGGCGACGAUCAGUAGCUGGUCUGAGAGGAUGAUCAGCCACAUUGGGACUGAGACACGGCCCAAACUCCUACGGGAGGCAGCAGUGGGGAAUAUUGGACAAUGGGCGCAAGCCUGAUCCAGCCAUGCCGCGUGAGUGAUGAAGGCCCUAGGGUUGUAAAGCUCUUUUGUGCGGGAAGAUAAUGACGGUAUCGCAAGAAUAAGCCCCGGCUAACUUCGUGCCAGCAGCCGCGGUAAU